rnacentral:rRNA from 1 species
CCAAUAGCGUAUAUUAAAGUUGCUGCAGUUAAAAAGCUCGUAGUUGAAUUUCGGGAUCAAUAUGUUGGUCGUGCCUUGGUACGUACUAGCUUAUUGAUUUCUUCCUUCUGAUGAACCAUGAUGUCAUUAAUUUGGUGUCAUGGGGAAUCAGGACUGUUACUUUGAAAAAAUUAGAGUGUUUAAAGCAGGCUAACGCUUGAAUACAUUAGCAUGGAAUAAUGAAAUAGGACAUCAGAUUCUAUUUUGUUGGUUUCUAGGAUCGAUGUAAUGAUUAAUAGGGAUGGUUGGGGGCAUUAGUAUUCAAUUGUCAGAGGUGAAAUUCUUGGAUUUAUUGAAGACUAACUACUGCGAAAGCAUUUGCCAAGGAUGUGUUCAUUAAUCAAGAACGAAAGUUAGGGGAUCGAAGACGAUCAGAUACCGUCGUAGUCUUAACCAUAAACUAUGCCGACUAGGGAUCGGAUGAUGUUAAUUUUUUAAUGACUCAUUCGGCGCCUUACG